rnacentral:rRNA from 1 species
AGUAAUGUCUGGGAAACUGCCUGAUGGAGGGGGAUAACUACUGGAAACGGUAGCUAAUACCGCAUAACGUCGCAAGACCAAAGUGGGGGACCUUCGGGCCUCAUGCCAUCAGAUGUGCCCAGAUGGGAUUAGCUAGUAGGUGGGGUAACGGCUCACCUAGGCGACGAUCCCUAGCUGGUCUGAGAGGAUGGCCAGCCACACUGGAACUGAGACACGGUCCAG